rnacentral:rRNA from 1 species
UACGUAGGGUGCAGGCGUUAAUCGGAAUUACUGGGCGUAAAGCGUGCGCAGGCGGUUUCUUAAGUCAGAUGUGAAAGCCCCGGGCUUAACCUGGGAACUGCGUUUGAAACUGGGAGACUUGAGUGUGGCAGAGGGGGGUGGAAUUCCACGUGUAGCAGUGAAAUGCGUAGAUAUGUGGAGGAACACCGAUGGCGAAGGCAGCCCCCUGGGUUAACACUGACGCUCAUGCACGAAAGCGUGGGGGGCAAACAGG